ACAUCUGAGAAAUGAAAUGGAAUGCUGCCCAUGGGGUGCUUGUCCUGUAGCACUCAGAAAGUGCUCGCUGCCAGGGAGCCGUGGUGCUGGUGGCAGGUCCCUGUCUGCCGACUGCCAAGGGGUUUUUAUCUCACUCAAGUGCAAACCUAACUAUGCAUUAUUCUGUGUUUUGCAGAUGUCAAAUCAAGAGUUGUUUUCACUGAGUCCUUCAGAAACAGGGGAGCUGGAGACAACCAGGCAAAGCCAGAGCACUCACGAACCUCUCCUCAGUGACAGCGCACAGCUGGAUUUCGAUGCCCUGUGUGACAAUGAGGACACAGCCAUGGCUGCUUUCAUGAAUUACUUAGAAGCAGAGGGGGGCCUCGGGGACCCCGGGGACUUCAGUGACAUCCAGUGGACACUCUAGCAUUUGACUUCUGUCUCCAAGAAUGAGAAACGUUUUCAAGCAUUUCAUUUACAAAACGCCGUCUCUUCUUCAGUCCUGUAUGGAUACCACUGGUUUCAUGUUUUCUUAAUGAUCUACCAGUUUUUAUAGAUUUGCACCUGACUCUCAACAGGGAGGUUGGAAAAUAGAUUUUCCUCCAAAGAGAACUGAUCAGUUUAUUAUCACCCCCUUUAUGCCAUGAAAUAGCGUAAAACCCACUAGCUGCCAUAUUUUUAACUAAAAUAUUUCUGACCGAUACCACCACCUACAUGUUGUUUUGACUUUAUUAUUUUUUUAUGUGGUUUUGAGUUUGAAGAAUUUAAUGUGGACAUUUUCCUGUGUCUAAGAUUUAUUUACCGCAGAUUUGUGAUACAGGUUUGUGUAAUUUGGAACAUUUCCAUUUCUUGAGCAUUUCCUUAAUUGAGGAUAGGGCAUUCAUUCUAGGAAAACAGGGAGUGCUUGUACACUUAAAGGGACAGUGCAACUUGUAAUCAUAAUCUUGAUGAAUACUAUAAUCAAUCUUUGUAGAAUUUGGCAGGAACACAGCCAGGAUAUUUAUACUCAGUCAAGCACUUUCAGAUGAAUUUUAAGUGAGAUGACUUCUUAUUUAAAACAGACAAAGCCAAAAAAGAGUUUCAACUUUGUUUACAGAAAAGGAAGAAUCUUAGGUCCUAGAUCUUGUUGAUUAACAAAACCAGCUCUUAAUAUAAACACUCAAGAUUUUCAUUACAGAUAGAAUAGACUUUUGCUGUUGAAACAUGGUUAGGAAGAAAUAGGUCCAGGCAGAUUAAGUGUCCUGGGUAAAGGGCUGGGCACAGUGGCACACUCUUGUAAUCCCACUGGUUCUGGAGGCUGAGACAGGAGGAUUGAGAGUUGAAAGCCAACCUCCGAAAAAGCGAGACACUAAGCAACUCAGUGAGACCCUGUCUAUAAAUAAAAUACAAAAUAGGGUGGGGGAUGUGGCUCAGUAGUUGAGUGCCCCUGAGUUAAAUACCUGUAUCCCCCCCCCCAAAAAAAAAUGUCCUGGGUAAAGUCAUACAUCAAAUUCAUGGAUUUUUAAAGUGUUUAAUAUGUAUAAACUAGUUUGUUUAUACAUAUUUGCAAAGCAAUGGCCUCACUAGCUAAAUGACUAAUUGAUCCAGGAAAUAGUUGUAGUUUUCUAGGUAGUUUCAGUUAUGCCUGUAAGGAAAAAGUAAUGAAGUAAAUGUUAAGUACAUUUUUUUAAUCAAGGCAAUGAGAAUGCAUUUUAAAACCAAUUUUCUAGUUACAAUUAAAAUUUUGGAAAGCAUUAUUUUAAAUAGUAAUUAAUCCAGAAGUAGCUCAAAUUGAGUAUAAGAACUAAGAUUAAUUAAAAUUCUAUAUACCUACCUUCUUGGGAAUCAUACUUUUAUAAAUACCUGUGUUUUAAUAUCUCUUUACAGAUUACCAAAUGUGUUCCUAUAUCUUUUUUUUUUUUUUUUUUGUAUUUUACAAACGAAAGAAGGAUAGGCUGGAAAACUAAGAGGGAAGCCCUCAGGCCCCAAUGAAGGGUUCAAAUCCACUUUUCUCCAUAUGGUGCUACACCCUUCCAGCAAAUUUCCCUCUGAGCCCCUCACCAAAGCAAUGUGUUACUUUGACCUUCAUGAUAUUUCUGGAGGCCGUUAAAGUGAUAAAUGAGAAUUUUCAUCAGAUGUGUUAAUGACAGACAUACCAACAGGCAAUCACCCAAAGCAAAUGUUUCUUUCAAGUGUGAAAUUCACAGGACCCGUGUAGGUGAGGAUGUGCUGGCACAUUGUGCUCUUGAGCCCAUACCGUGUGUUCCAGCAACAUCAGGGGUCAGCACCCUUCUUAAAGGCUGACAUUUGAGGCCUUGAGAGACAUCCAGGUUUAUAACACGCCAAAGAAACCCUUCAAGAUGAGGGAGGGUUGACGUGCUGCAGCCCCAGCACUACAGCUAAGUUGAAAGAAGCGUGAAAGAUCACAUGGCCCCUCUGCCUGCCCACCAGCAGAGCUGUUUUUAGGGGACUGCACCAUUGCAGGUUCCCUAGUGGUAGGCUAUGUCAUCACUAUGGGAUGGCCUCAAAAAUAGGAGGGGCAAACUCUCAUGAUUUGAGGGGCAGAGAUUCUGGAUUCGGCCCUUGCUGCCUUGCACAGCGGGAGUUUUCUUAUUGCAAAAGGAGGGGUUAUUCCAUAGGCCAACAGGCAGGUAGCCCUUGGAAUGCUCUGGGCAUAUCGAUUUUUAAAUUUUAUUUAUUUAUUUAUUUUUUAGCCCACUCUAAUUUUUUCCACAGAUUCUCUUGUCCUGGACCCAGAAUCCAGCCCAUCCAUGCUUUGUAUGGUACUGUCGUUCUCCCAAAUUUAGUGUAUUCUCUAAAAUUCAUUCCAUUAGGACUAAAAUAUUUGUAUGGAUUAUGCAUAUCACUAUUGUCUCCUAUAAGUUAACAUCUUGAAUUUUGGUGAGAAAUAACACAUCUAUAAAUUGCAUGAAAAUAUCAAAGACAGUAAUUUUUUUCUUAACUCUGAGAGUUACCUGUAACAUCAUAUCAGAGUGGGAAGAGUCCCUGUGUAGCCAGGGACUGUGUAGCCAGAGUCCCUGUGUAGCCAUUUAAAACUCUGUGCCUCAGUUUCCUCAUUUAUAUAAAAAAAAAGUUUGCUUUCUGAGUUUACUCCCAGCUGUGACUCUGACUCUAAUCCAUAGAACUUAAGCACUGGACUGUCCUUUACUGUAGCCAUUUACCACAUGUGGCAUUGAACACUUGCAACGUGGCUGUUACAAACUGAGAGGUGUUAUCGAAGUAAAAUACAAACCAGAUUUGUAUUUUACAAUACAAAUUGUAAAAUUUGUAUUGUAAAACAUGCUGGGGCUGCAGCACAUCAGACUUAGUAUGUGAAUGUAAAAUAGCAUGUUAAUUUUAUAAUGAUUACAUAUGCAAAUGUUAUUUUGGAUAUACUGAAUUAAGUAAAACAUUACAAUUAUACUUGUAUCUUUUUACUUUAAUGUGGCUACUAAAAAAUUUUAAAUCACACACAUGGCUCUCAUUCUUUCUUUUGGACAGUGCUGCUCUAGAUGAAUAAUAUUCAUCAAGUGGAUAUUAUUAAAGUAGACCAAAGGUUAUACCAUCAGGAUGACAUUUACCUCUAAAUACUGUUUGAGAGAUAUUUAUUGAUCUUUUUCAGACCACUAGUGUUAAUGUCUAUUUGCCUACUGUUCAACAGUCAACCUGAUUUAUUGAUCCUUGAUUAAGUACAAGUAACUGAGCCUCUAGUCAUGUGCCGGAUUUAAAAAUUUGAUCAGACAUUUUACUACAUGUCUACAUUUUACUACAUAGCCUACAGUCAAAUACAAUUUGAGUUAUAGGUUGACACCAUCUGUCACUGAAUUUGAAAAUCUUUUGGGAAACAGGAAAAUACAGAGUGGAGAAUAUUAGUGAAUAAUGAAACUGAAGGGAAGUGUGUAUCUACAGUGACAACAGAAAAGACCAUAUUACUUUUGUCUCCUAUAAAUUAACUUCUGUUCUUGAGUCCCAUUCUGUGGAGUCUAGGGCACCAGGAUGUGGACUAGCCCAUGCCUAGUUACCAGACUGUGUUUGGUGGUUUCUGUUUCAGAUCCUGCUUUAGAGAUGUGCCUGCCAUUCGGGUAUGUCAUCGCUGAGCUCUGGAAUUAGAGACUCAGAUUUGCCCAACACUGUUCAGGGCAGGGCAGGGCCGACAGCAUUGUCAAGAAGCCAUAAAGAAGAACUGCUAAGCGGCCACUAGGUGCCACCUUUCCUUUCUCACAGUGCUGUGUUUUGAUGAGAUUAACUUUCCCCAGCUCCCUGGGGCCUGUGAGAGACAUUAUUUAAGAUUUCUGUGCCUAGAAUGAGUCAGCUUCUCUGGUGUGGGUUGGUUGAUGAGAAAUGCUUUCCAAGGGACGUCUGGGGACGCCUUCUCACAUAAUAUAAGAACUUUGGUGUAGGGAGCUUCCCAGAUGUGCUGCUCGUGAGAACUGGCCUUAGCAAACCCGUCCAGUCUGGGGUAGGCUCUCUGAACCCGAUGCUCAUAUGUUCUCAAGUGUAGAUUUGCCUUUUCUACAGUUUUUAGCUCUCUCCAGUUCACUGGCUCUUGUCUGUAUAUUGAUAUUUUUAAAUUUUUGUGGUAAAUAAUAGUGAAAUUAAAUUAUAUUUUGUAAUAAUUACUAUUUUGUAGC
ensembl:lincRNA